GCUGUGCCCACCCCCUCGCCGGAGAGAGUGCUGGUAACUCCUUCCCCAGUCUGAAUACCUGCUCCGCCAGGCCGUGGACACGUGCGGAGAGCCGACUGACACUCGCAGCCCCCUCGGGAGGCCCGAUGCGACUGGGCCCCUCAGGUGCAAUGAUUCUGGACUGAGACGCGCUUGGACAGAUGCUAUGUAAUCGUCUCUGUCUGUGCUGAGGACUUCGCUUCAGAAAGGAAAGAGGAGGGAUCGGCUCGCUUCGGCG
rnacentral:lncRNA from 1 species